GUGGGUACAGCUCAGUGGAAGGGAGAAUGCCUACCAUGCGUGAAGUCCUGGGUUCAAUUCCCAGUACCUCCA
rnacentral:tRNA from 1 species